GUAGUCGGAUUCGUAUCAAUCCACAUGUGUUGGGGUGGAUUGGAGUGGAACUUGAACUCAAUCCACUCCAACAUAUGUGGAUUGAGACGAAUCCGACA
rfam:Sorghum bicolor cultivar BTx623 chromosome 8, whole genome shotgun sequence.